rnacentral:rRNA from 1 species
CCUACGGGAGGCAGCAGUGAGGAAUAUUGGUCAAUGGGCGGGAGCCUGAACCAGCCAAGCCGCGUGAGGGAAGAAGGUACAGCGUAUCGUAAACCUCUUUUGUCAGGGAAUAAAGGCGGGCACUAGUCCCCGGAUGAGGGUACCUGAUGAAAAAGCAUCGGCUAACUCCGUGCCAGCAGCCGCGGUAAUACGGAGGAUGCAAGCGUUGUCCGGAUUUACUGGGUGUAAAGGGCGUGUAGCCGGGCUGACAAGUCAGAUGUGAAAUCCGGGGGCUCAACCCCCGAACUGCAAUUGAAACUGUUGGUCUUGAGUAUCGUAGAGGCAGGCGGAAUUCCUGGUGUAGCGGUGAAAUGCUUAGAUAUUAGGAGGAACACCGAUGGCGAAGGCAGCCUACUAGACGACAACUGACAGUGAGGCGCGAAAGCGUGGGGAGCAAACAGGAUUAGAUACCCCUGUAGUC